rnacentral:ncRNA from 2 species
GACGUUCAUCUCUCUUUGCUAAUGAUUUUUUGAAUUCGCGAGAAGAGACGGAAGUAAGGAAACAUCCCGAAGGAACGCACC